rnacentral:lncRNA from 1 species
GGAACAUGCAAGAUGUCAGGUGAAACGUGGGUGGAAAGAAUGCUGCAGGGCUUUGUCAGCUGUGUGAACCCCAAAACCCCAACUACUCAGCGCAGAAAUUUAUCAUCAAACUUCCACAUGUGAGGGUUUAUGAUAGCAUGAUUGAGCUUCCUCUAAUAUAGACUAACUCCACUCAGAUAUGUUGACACCAGAAUUUUGAUGAGACUGGAUUCUCGAUUCACCAAAUUCCUUCUGGGUUCUUGUUUUGCAAAUUUGAAGAAUAAAAUCUACUGACAUUAAACAGAGUGGGACUUAUUUAAUAAGAAAGAGAACUCCCACAAUGUGGUAGGGGCCUGAGAACAUGAAAACCCAUGUUGGUGUUCGAGCUUAAAGGGUUUAUAAGAUUUAGGUCUGAGCACUGACGGAAGUCUAUGUUAAACAGGCAUUGAAAAAGUACCAAGGUUAUUGGUUGUAUUCUUUAGCCUGAGUUUUAAUCCUUCCUUUAACUGGAGUCUGGGUUUACUCCUACCUUCGGUUUUCCGCCUCUCUGGGACAAACGAGUUGGUUAGUGUUCCCAUAGAUAAGCCUCACGGUAUUUUACCUUUGAAAAAGGACUUGACUCAUUAACAUUUCUACAGGUUAGUCUCCCAGAGUGCUCUCUGUCUUUGAAUAAUUGGAACUCAUUGCCUGACUGCUAUCUGUUCUUAUUCAAUGUCAUAGGGUACCCAGAAAGUUCCAUCAACAACCUUGCUAGGAUUUAUAUAACUUCUAAAG